rnacentral:rRNA from 1 species
UGGGGAAUUUUGGACAAUGGGGGCAACCCUGAUCCAGCCAUGCCGCGUGAGUGAAGAAGGCCUUCGGGUUGUAAAGCUCUUUCGGUAGGGAAGAAAUUGCACACUCUAACAUAGUGUGUAGAUGACGGUACCUACAUAAGAAGCACCGGCUAACUACGUGCCAGCAGCCGCGGUAAUACGUAGGGUGCGAGCGUUAAUCGGAAUUACUGGGCGUAAAGCGUGCGCAGGCGGUUAUGUAAGUCAGAUGUGAAAUCCCCGGGCUUAACCUGGGAAUGGCAUUUGAGACUGCAUGGCUAGAGUGUAGCAGAGGGGGGUAGAAUUCCACGUGUAGCAGUGAAAUGCGUAGAGAUGUGGAGGAAUACCGAUGGCGAAGGCAGCCCCCUGGGCUACUACUGACGCU